rnacentral:lncRNA from 1 species
ACAGCCUAAAAACCCCUCCAAACUUUUACAAAGGUUUUAAAACAUAUUUAUAGAUAUUUAUAGAUAUUUAUAUAUAUAUACUUUGAUUUCUUUCUCUUUUAAAUGACUCUGCUUCCUCGGUGGUGGGGUCGGCCGGGUCCCCCCCCCCCCAUGGCCGGGCCGGGGCGACGGCGGCGGUCGCGGUCCCGUUUGUGCUGGUGCUGGUGGGGCCGGGGGGGGCGUCCCGGGGGCCCCCGCGCCCCUGAAAUGUGAAUCAACCAAAGCACUGCGGUGCCCCGCGGUGGGGAGGGCCGGGGGGGGCAGCGCCGCUCCCGCUGGGUCCGCUCCGGGUGGGGGUCCCGGGGCUGUGCCGAGGGGGGCUGCGAGGAGUCCGCCCCGGGGGGGGCUGCAGACGGACCCCCCCUCAAGCUGUGUCCUGGUGCAGCCGGGCGUGGGUCACGGCGAGUGCGUGGCCGGGCUGCUGCGCGUGGAGCUCGGCGAGAGGCUGGGGCUGCAGCUGCCCGGGGGGGGCCCCAAACCUCCCGUGCGGGGACCGCCCGGCUGCCCCCCCAGCGUGUCCAUGCCCUCCGAGUUCUCCAACAUCUCCUGGAUGAGCGGUGGCAUCGAGCCCGGGAUCUCCAUCUUCAGUGUGAUCACCCGCUCGGCGCCCUUGGCGCUGAUGCUGCGGAGAUCUGUGAUCUUCAUCAGCAUUUUGGGGAACAUGUGGGGUUUGUUGGGCCUCCUCUUCCUCACGUAGAUCUUCAGCGCCUCCAGCAGCGGCUCCUGCAGUUUGUCCACCUUGUCGGGCUGCUCCAGGUCCUGGCGGUCCCCGCAGAUGAGGCAGAUGGCGCUCAGCAGUCCGGUCUCGGCGUCGUCCAUCUCCAGCGGCAGCAGCUGAUUGGCGAAGGCGAACACCAGGUCUGUGAGCGGCCCGAAGCCGGCGUUGUGCAUCUGCGUGCGGUUCAGCGUCAGCCCGUCCGAGAAGGUCAUGGUGUCCUGCUCGGGGGUGUAGCGCGUGCAGAUCCGCAGGAUCAGGAUGUCCAGGCAGGCGGCUUUGAGCAGCGUGAUCUGGUCGGCGAUGGUGAGCGUGGUGAAGCCGGGCAGCUGCUUGGCGAACUCCACCGUCUUGAUGAUGCACUUCGUGGACAGCUCGCUGAAUUUGUCCCACAGGUCGAUGUCCAGCGACACGCGCUGCUCCGAGCUGUUGUUCGUGGUGUAUUUGCCCAGCUGGCACAGCGCAGGGAACGUCUCCUGGUGCGCUUUGCGGACCUUCUCGAUCAGCUCCUCCACCUCGGGGGUGACGAUGUAACUCUCCGAGCACUCCGUCUUCGGCACGUCCUUCUUCUUCUUAUUGCGGUCGUUGCGGACGGACUCCUUGGACAUCCCGAC